rnacentral:rRNA from 1 species
UACGUAGGGUGCGAGCGUUAAUCGGAAUUACUGGGCGUAAAGCGUGCGCAGGCGGUCUGUUAAGACCGAUGUGAAAUCCCCGGGCUUAACCUGGGAACUGCAUUGGUGACUGGCAGGCUUUGAGUGUGGCAGAGGGGGGUAGAAUUCCACGUGUAGCAGUGAAAUGCGUAGAGAUGUGGAGGAAUACCGAUGGCGAAGGCAGCCCC